CACUACAAUUGGGAGUGGCUAUGGAUCCCUCUUAAAUCAGAUGAAAACACACGUUGAGCAUAAGAAUCGUGAUAAUCCUCUGGUACGGCUAAGAAUGAGAAAAACACUCUCAGGCUCAUCGACGUUAGUCAGUGCAAGAGGGUCAACUGACAAAUAUGGGUAUGUAAGAUGGCAGCCUGACUUUCCCACAGAAGAAACGGAAGAAACUUUGGAGGCAAAGCGUGAGGAAAUGGAGCAGCUUUAUUCCAGAGAAGGGCCGGCAGGAGGUGACAGAGUACAACUCUCGCAGCUCAUGCAAGCAACAUUUUACUUACAGCGCUGUGCCAUCAACACUAGCCCAGCAUCUAAACUAGCCGAGCUGAGGAGUAAGUGGCCAUACCUUUUCACACAGAAGGAACUCUACAACCACUUCAAGUUACUGACAGAUGUCUCAAUCCUGGAAAGAAUGUAUGCAACGAUGGCAGAAAAAGGAAAGAUUAUAAUAGAAUAACCAACAAAUGAAGAGGUUCGGUACAUCCUGUCAAGGUUUGAAAAGGGUGGAGCGACUGCAGUUGGCCCUUGUGUUGUCCUUCUGCUGAUGGCCCAUUUCAAAGAAAGGGCGGAUGCAUUCCUUCUACAGGCCGAUGUGUGAUCAAUUCCCCUGCUGGACUCACCAAGACUGAUUGUUGAAGGUGACACAAUGACUGCUGCCCAAUGGAUGAUAAGCAUGGAGAAGGUGGUCAUGAUGUCGGUCCACUCCAACUUUGUGGCAGUGCUAGCAGCUUUUCUUGCCUCAUUCUACAUCUUCAAUCUGCAGUACCAAGAGGAGGCUUCACUCACCCUGGAGUUCAUCCAAAGAUGUUUUGCUGGAAUCAAUCCAUCCACUGGCUCAAAGACCGCCACAGCAGAGGUUGUCAGCAAGAAAAGCGGGAAGGUAGUGGAGAAGAAGUGACACACAAUUAAUGUACAUCUCCGUACUCUGCUCAGGAAGAUAAUGGACUUUGAACAGCUACAGGCUAGUUCCUCUUGGGCAUACAUUUAAUGUAUUUUAGUAAAUUGUGACCUGCGCAAGUAAGUUUGGUUUGUAACUAGGGUUGACUUUUUUUGUGUGUUUUUACACCUUAAGUGUUUGAAAAUUAUCAAGUAUGCCCUGAAAUUGACACAUUGUUGAGGAAGUAAUGCUACUCUGUGUUUAACCUGGGAGUGAAGGUAAUGACAAACCUCCUAAGAAUAGGCCAGGCAGACAUGUUGCACAAAACUCUGUUGAAAGUAGGCCUUAGUACAAAACAAGAUACAUUUUUUUCUUUUUUUGAGCGUAAAGCGAGGUAAUGCGACUUUUGAGUUACCUGUGUCUGAAAGGUUAUUUUUAUUUCAAAAGCUAAGAUACAUACACUAUACCAGUGCCUUUCUUAUCUGUAAUUCUGUCACUUUCUAUGCUGGAACAGUUAUACACAUGCACCUUAUUCAGGACCUUGAUCUAUUUUGAAGAUUGAUACAUUUGAAACCUUUGACACAUUUUACACCUUUUUGUUGAAAGAAUUGGCUUUGCAUCUGAUUGCUGAAUAGCCUUCUGACCAACUAUCAUUAUUUUAUGUUGCAUAGAAGCUAGAAUAUCAUUACACAUUACACACAUUUUUCAAUUUGUAAAGGAAGAUGUUUCUCAGUUUUGUAGAUGGGGUGGUUGCAUCCAUCCUAACUAAUGCUUGAUUUUGUGAAGUUAUGUCAUACCAAUACUGUUAAGAUUAACAAUUUUAUUCUGUCCUGAUUAAUCAUUUUCAGAUGUACACUUUUUGCUAGGUGCUAGGGGAAAGGUAUAGGUUUGUAAGUGAGGCGUUUGUGAUGCGGCCGAUUUGGCUACAGUUUAUUGGUAUUUCCCACCGAGCA